rnacentral:rRNA from 1 species
GACGAACGCUGGCGGCGUGCUUAACACAUGCAAGUCGAACGCUGAAGCUCAGCUUUUGUUGGGUGGAUGAGUGGCGAACGGGUGAGUAACACGUGAGUAACCUGCCUCCUUCUUUGGGAUAACGCCCGGAAACGGGUGCUAAUACUGGAUAUUCACUGGUCUUCGCAUGGGGGUUGGUGGAAAGGGUUUUUCUGGUGGGGGAUGGGCUCGCGGCCUAUCGGCUUGUUGGUGGGGUAAUGGCCUACCAAGGCUUUGACGGGUAGCCGGCCUGAGAGGGUGACCGGUCACAUUGGGACUGAGAUACGGCCCAGACUCCUACGGGAGGCAGCAGUGGGGAAUAUUGCACAAUGGGCGCAAGCCUGAUGCAGCGACGCCGCGUGAGGGAUGGAGGCCUUCGGGUUGUGAACCUCUUUCGCUCAUGGUCAAGCCGCAACAAUGGUUGUGGUGAGGGUAGUGGGUAAAGAAGCGCCGGCUAACUACGUG